AGGGGUAUAGUUCAGUUGGUAGAACGUCGGUCUCCAAAACCGGAUGUCGUGGGUUCGAGUCCUACUACCCCUG
rnacentral:tRNA from 1 species